rnacentral:snRNA from 1 species
AUACUUACCUGGCAGGGGAGAUACCAUGAUCACGAAGGUGGUUUUCCCAGAGUGAGGCUCACUCAUCCAUUGCACUGCGGGUGUGCUGACCCCUGCGAUUUCCCCAAAUGCGGGAAACUCGACUGCAUAAUUUGUGGUAGUGGGGGACUGCGUUCGCGCUCUCCCCUG